ACGAACGCUGGCGGCGUGCUUAACACAUGCAAGUCGAACGGAAAGGCCCUGCUUUUGUGGGGUGCUCGAGUGGCGAACGGGUGAGUAACACGUGAGUAACCUGCCCUUGACUUUGGGAUAACUUCAGGAAACUGGGGCUAAUACCGGAUAGGAGCUCCUGCUGCAUGGUGGGGGUUGGAAAGUUUCGGCGGUUGGGGAUGGACUCGCGGCUUAUCAGCUUGUUGGUGGGGUAGUGGCUUACCAAGGCUUUGACGGGUAGCCGGCCUGAGAGGGUGACCGGCCACAUUGGGACUGAGAUACGGCCCAGACUCCUACGGGAGGCAGCAGUGGGGAAUAUUGCACAAUGGGCGGAAGCCUGAUGCAGCAACGCCGCGCGUGGGAUGACGGCCUUCGGGUUGUAAACCGCUUUCGCCUGUGACGAAGCGUGAGUGACGGUAAUGGGUAAAGAAGCACCGGCUAACUACGUG
rnacentral:rRNA from 1 species